UUCUACUGCAAAGCUGUGGCUAACGGGAAGUUUCUUCCAAAUGAUCCAGUGUUUCUUGAGCCUCAUGAAGAAAUGACACUUUGCAAGUACUAUGAAAAAAGAUUAUUGGAAUUCUGUUCAGUGUUUAAGCCAGCUAUGCCACGGUCUGUUGUGGGUACAGCUUGUAUGUAUUUCAAGCGUUUUUAUCUUAAUAACUCAGUAAUGGAAUAUCACCCUUGGAUAAUAAUGCUUGCUUGUGCAUUUUUGGCCUGCAAAGUAGAUGAAUUCAAUGUGUCUAGUCCUCAGUUUGUUGGAAAUCUUCGAGAGAGUCCUCUUGGACAGGAGAAGGCACUGGAACAGAUUUUGGAAUAUGAAUUACUACUUAUACAACAACUUAAUUUUCACCUUAUUGUCCACAAUCCGUAUAGACCAUCUGAAGGCUUCCUCAUCGAUAUAAAGACUUGAUACCCCAUGUUGGAGAAUCCGGCGAUUUUGAGGAAAACCGCUUAUGAUUUUCUUAGUAGAAUUGCGUUGACAGAUGCUUAUCUUUUAUUCACACCUUCCCAAAUUGCCCUGGCUGCCAUUUUAUCAAGUGCCUCUAGAGCUGGAAUUACUAUGGAGAGCUAUUUAUCAGGGAGUCUAAUGCUGAAAGAAAACAGAACUUGCCUAUCACAGUUACUGGAUAUAAUGAGAAGCAUGAGAAACCUAGGGAAAAAAUGGUAGGAGCCACCCAGGUCUGAAGAAGUUGCUGUUCUGAAACAGAAGUUAGAACGAUGUCAUCCUUCUGACCUUGCCCUUAACAUGGUUACAAAGAAGAGGAAAGGCUAUGAAAAUGAUGACUGUGUAUCAAAGAAUCCCAAACGGGAAGAGGCAGAAUGGACUGAUGAUGACCUGGUAGACCCUCUCUGA